UGUGGAUUAAUUCGAUGCAACGCGAAAACCUUACCUACCCUUGACAUGUCCGGAAUCCGAAGAGAUUUGGGAGUGCUCGCAAGAGAGCCGGAACACAGGUGCUGCAUGGCUGUCGUCAGCUCGUGUCGUGAGAUGUUGGGUUAAGUCCCGCAACGAGCGCAACCCUUGUCAUUAGUUGCCAUCAUUUGGUUGGGCACUCUAAUGAGACUGCCGGUGACAAACCGGAGGAAGGUGGGGAGUGACGUCAAGUCCUCAUGGCCCUUAUGGUAGGGCUUCACACGUCAUACAAUGGUCGGUACAGAGGGUUGCCAACCCGCGAGGGGGAGCUAAUCCCACAAAGCCGAUCGUAGUCCGGAUCGCAGUCUGCAACUCGACUGCGUGAAGUCGGAAUCGCUAGUAAUCGUGGAUCAGCAUGUCACGGUGAAUACGUUCCCGGGUCUU
rnacentral:rRNA from 1 species